GGGAUGUGGCGAAAUCGGCAGACGCAACGGACUUAAAAUCCGUUGGAUGAAUAAUCCGUGCGGGUUCAAGUCCCGCCAUCCCC
rnacentral:tRNA from 1 species